AUUUCAUAUGUCUGUGUUAGAGAGAUCCUGAAUUACUCUGACACCAGUAGGGAAGUUUCUGCAUGACCUCUUGUUGUGUCCCAAGGACCUCCUGUUAUAUCAAGACACAAGACAUGCCUUUCUGGGAUGUGCUGCUGUAAAGGAGAAAGCUGGAAGUAGCUGCAGUGGUUAUGAAUGAUUGAUGAAGGCCAGAUGCUGGUGUGUCUGAACUCUAUGGGAAAAUACAUUUAAAGCUAUAAGACCAGGAAAAUAAUUAUCAAAGAUAAAAGAAUGAUAGAAGUAUUGGUAUCUGUUGCAAUAGAAGAGAAAGAGAAAACAGAGGAAUAAAAAUAAGACUUUUAAAGCACUGUGAAGCACUCUCAUUCCUCAAAGUGUUUGGGGAACAGAAUCUUACAGACACCACCAAAAUAAGAGAAGCUUAAAAGAAAUAAUCCCACGCUUAAACAACAGUGGAGUGCCCACUUCACAGCAGAAUCCUG
rnacentral:lncRNA from 1 species